ACAUAAGUGCAGCUCAUUCCCAAGAGGGGUGACGCACCCAGUCAUCUUCAAAGUGCAUGUCUCCUGAAUUAUAUUUUGUUUUAGUUUUGGUGUAUUUGCUGCACAGGUUCAGGAACAUCAAUCUGGGUUCUGCUGCAGACCAAAGGGUCAGACAGAAAUUGACCUCCACGUGUACUCUUCUCUUCAACAUGGUGAUGUUUGUGUCUAUGAAACCAUGAGAGGCUCUGAAGAUGUUCGGAAUGGGGGACCUGGAAGUCCGUACCAGAACAUUCAAUUGCACUGACCCCAAAUCAGGUUCAAACUCUUGACAGAAGCAAAAAACACGAGGAUCCAUCAGCGAGCUCCGACUGCUACAGUAUCAGUCAAGAACCAGCCACAAACACUGUGUGAUCCAUCAGAGACACUCAACGACCGGAUGGAAACCAAUAAAAAG